rnacentral:rRNA from 1 species
GAUGAACGCUGGCGGCGUGCCUAAUACAUGCAAGUCGAGCGAACAGACGAGGAGCUUGCUCCUCUGACGUUAGCGGCGGACGGGUGAGUAACACGUGGAUAACCUACCUAUAAGACUGGGAUAACUUCGGGAAACCGGAGCUAAUACCGGAUAAUAUAUUGAACCGCAUGGUUCAAUAGUGAAAGACGGUUUUGCUGUCACUUAUAGAUGGAUCCGCGCCGCAUUAGCUAGUUGGUAAGGUAACGGCUUACCAAGGCAACGAUGCGUAGCCGACCUGAGAGGCGGAUCACCCUCCCUGCAACAAGGAACCGGUCCAGGCUCCUACGAUAGGCAGCAGUCGGGAAUGUUGCGCGAUGGCCGAAAGCCUCACGGGCCGGCACGGCAGCAGUCCUGCAGGUCUUCGGGUCGUAGAACUCUGUGAUUAGGGAAGAAAAGAGGCGCACGUAGCUCUGCACUUGGUGACGGUAGCUGGUAAGAAAGACACGGCUAGCUACGUG